UCGGCGGUUGAGAAGAGCUCCGGCGAACCCCUUUUCUUCCGAUCAACCACCCACGGUAUUCCUCUUGGAAGAAUCCCUCAAAUUUCUAAAAAAAUCUUUCCAAAACCAAUUGUAGAGACAUAAGGGAGGGAAAGAGGAUUUUAUAGAGGUGAUUUCCUACCCCUAAUCGGACUCUAUCGAUCCAAUUUUGUCGGAGACGGGAAGGAAGAAGACUCCGGCUAGGAGUCUUCCUCCUCUAUUUUUUAUUUAUUUUUUUUUUAAAUCUGGGUUGUUACAUUCUCCCCUCCUUAAAAUAAUUUUGUCCUCGAAAUUAGAUUAUAUCGUUUGAGAUAUCUAUUUCAAAGUAUACAUUCUUCAUGUCAUUCUCAAGCUUACGAUAAUAUCAUAUAUAUUAUUUAUUUCUCAUGAUCUUGUUAUAACAAAAAUUAUUUGAAAUCUCAAACUCAUCCCUUCUUAUUGAUUUCUCAACUUUUUGAAGAACUGUAACAUUUUGGACUUGUAUUAAUAUACCACCGUUAUUUGUCUAAUACAUUUCACUCGAAAUUCAUAAUUAUCUCAGACUAUCCUUGAUAGAAAAUAACUAAAGGUCAAACAUCGGUCACUCUUCACAAUCAUCGAUUUCUUUCUUCUCUUGACCUUCCAACAAAUUUUAUAUGUAGACUCUCAUCUUAAGGAAACCUUAAUCUUCUAUAUCAGUCCAAGUAAUAAUAUUAUAUUAAAAAAAAUAUAAGAUCUAUGUCAGGACAUUCUAAGUUUGAGCUAAUAUCAGAACUAUCAAGCUGUUAAUAAACUUGAGAUAUCUAGAAAUUUUUUUUUUUUUUUGGCAUUAUCUACAAUGAAACAACCUACUGACAAAAAUUAUCUGGCUAUGAUCAGAUUAGAUCAAAAUCUGUAGCAUCCUUUCAUUAUCAAUAAAAUCCUUCCUUAUUUGCAACUAAUAUAUUCCAUCAUAUUAUCUUUUGUUUUAAAAGAUCAAUAUUUCUAAUCAAUUCAGACCAUCACGCUUUUGCUGCGCACUCUGAUCUCAACUUACCAAAUUAUAUAAGUCUAUCAAAGAUAAAAUAAAUAUCCUUAUAUGUUAGGUCAAUCCAGGAU
rnacentral:lncRNA from 1 species